rnacentral:rRNA from 1 species
AAUGGAGGAAACUCUGAUGCAGCGAUGCCGCGUGAGUGAAGAAGGCCCUUGGGUUGUAAAGCUCUUUCGUCGGGGAAGAAAAUGACUGUACCCGAAUAAGAAGGUCCGGCUAACUUCGUGCCAGCAGCCGCGGUAAUACGAAGGGACCUAGCGUAGUUCGGAAUUACUGGGCUUAAAGAGUUCGUAGGUGGUUAAAAAAGUUGGUGGUGAAAUCCCAGAGCUUAACUCUGGAGCUGCCAUCAAAACUUUUUAGCUAGAGUAUGACAGAGGAAAGCAGAAUUUCUAGUGUAGAGGUGAAAUUCGUAGAUAUUAGAAAGAAUACCAAUUGCGAAGGCAGCUUUCUGGGUCAUUACUGACACUGAGGAACGAAAGCAUGGGUAGCGAAGAGGAUU